UACGUACGAGGCGAGCGUUGUCCGGAAUUAUUGGGCGUAAAGAGCUCGUAGGCGGUUUGUCGCGUCUGCUGUGAAAACUCAGGGCUUAACCCUGAGCCUGCAGUGGGUACGGGCAGACUAGAGUGUGGUAGGGGAGAUCGGAAUUCCUGGUGUAGCGGUGGAAUGCGCAGAUAUCAGGAGGAACACCGGUGGCGAAGGCGGGUCUCUGGGCCGAUACUGACGCUGAGGAGCGAAAGCGUGGGGAGCGAACAGG
rnacentral:rRNA from 1 species